GGGAGUGAAAUAGAACCUGAAACCCUGCACUUACAAGCUGUGGAAGCACAUUUCUUGUGUGACCGCGUACUUUUUGUAGAACGGGCCAACGAGUUACGCUCAGUAGCAAGGUUAAGCACUUAAGGUGUGGAGCCGUAGCGAAAGCGAGUAGUAACUGAGCGUUCAGUUACUUGACGUAGACCCGAAACCGUGCGACCUACCCAGGAGCAGGAUGAAGCGAAAGUANAAUUUCGUGGAGGUCCGACCCCACGAGCGUUGAAAAGCUCGGGGAUGACUUGUGGGUAGCGGAGAAAUUCCAAUCGAGCCCGGAGAUAGCUGGUUCUCCCCGAAAUAGCUUUAGGGCUAGCCUCAAGGUGAGAGAUACGGAGGUAGAGCACUGAAUGUCCUAGGGGGUAUUGCACCUACCGAAG
rnacentral:rRNA from 1 species